rnacentral:lncRNA from 1 species
AGUGUCAGUUCAACCCUGUGCCUUGGGAGGCCCACUUCUCUGAACUGCCUUUGUAACUUGAGCUAAUUCCUCAUUGAGGAGCCUGGUGAGUUAAACCUGGACUCUUUUGCCAGGUGAGAUAACUGAACUUGAUUCUACAGGCCGGUUGCUUGUCAAACUGUGUUCCAUAAACUACUUAGAUUAGAGUGGGGCAAUGAAUCAGGGAGCAGGGUGCAAGCAAGUGCUAAACUCUGCCUCUGCUGAAGUAGCUGUGCUUACUGGUGCUUUAACAUGAAAUUUGUGGGGCAGAAUUUGCCGAACAAAUACCACUGGAAGGAAGGAAGGAAGGAAGGAAGGAAGGAAGGAAGGAAGGAAGGAAGGAAGGAGAGAAGAAGGGAGGGAGGGAGAGAAGGAGGGAGGGAGGGAGAGAAGGAAGGAGGGAGGAAGGAAGGAAAGAAGGAAGGGAGGGAGGGAGGGAAAGAAGGAAGAGAGGGAGGACGGGAGGGAGGGAGGAAGGAAGGAAGGAAGGAAGGAGAAGGGAAGGGAGGAAAAGAGAGAGGGUGGGAGAAAGAAGGAUCUCAUGGUAAUUUGCAGACAUAGAAUUUGAAAAGUUUGAUUCUAGGGAGUAAAAUUAUCUUGUAUGUAAUUUAGAAAAAGCCUUCUGGCAUAAGAAUAGAAAAUGAAGUAAAGGAAGUGAAACUGAGAAAGGAAAAUCAGUGAGGAGGCUAUUGACAGACUUAGAAGAGGUGAUGAGCCCUAAUCUAGAUUUGUAUUUGUUUUUAUGGAGCGGAAAGAUUGGAAUCCAGGUACAAUUAGGCGUACCGUCAGCAGGAUUUAGUGAGGGAUUGGAUUAUGGAAAAAUAAUAAUAACAUGCACCCAUAGGGUUGUUGGAAAGGUCAUAUUUAUGAAUGUGUUUUAAACUGCAGAGAGUAGUGGAAAAAUUAAUUAUGAGUAUUAUUUCAACUAGAUCAUAUCUCUCUUUAUUCCCAGAUAGUGUUCUUUCCAUGCACUCCUCCUAUGAUUCAUUGUAAAUUGAGCUUUUCACUAAUUGGAUUUGUGGAAAGCAAUAGAGAAUGCCAUUUGGCUACUUCCUCUUUAGGGAGUGUUAAUAUUCAAAUCUCCAGGUCAUUAUUUAGAAUACCCAGUUCCAACAAGGGAAAUUUAAAGUUUCAUCUCAUAUUAAUCUCUAAAGCAAGCUCUCCUUUGCCUCCAGAUGAGCAAAUAUUUGAACUGGAGAAAGAGGAUCUUUUCUGCGACUUACAACAAGUCUUUGACCAAAUUAUCCAAUGGUGGUAGAUUCUGAUAUCCUGAAGGGGCAUAUAAGAAUAUUGGCUUAUAAUCUAUGUUAUUAAUGAUAAGGAGCCUGAUGAUGAAGAUGAUAAUGAUAAUGACUCUAAUAAUCAUUAUAUUUACCAUAUUUUAAUACCUAUUGUGUGCCAGUAAAUAAGCUAAACACUUUCUGUACAUUGUUUAAUUUAAUAAUGCUCAAUGUUAUGAUAAUUUUACAGUUCAGAAAACUGAGGCUCAAAAAUUUUAAGUAACCUAAAUUGAUUCAGUUGGUAAAAUAUAGAACAGAGAUUUAAUCCCAGCCCAGUUUUCCUUGUUCCACAUCCCAUGCUCCUUGUUCCUAGGCAGGUGAAUCAAGUAUCAAGGCUUCUCUGUCUCCUUACUCCCCAGUCUUACCAACUGAGGCACCAGCCUUAUCUCCAGGCAGAAAGUAUUUUCCCUAAACGUUUUGGCCUUGUCCACACUAGAGUGGAUUUUCCUGAUUGGGGCCAUCAAUACACUGAGCAGACCUCUCUAAGCAGAGAAAGUGACAGGGCUUUACCCAAGAACAAACAAAAUGACAUUGUCUGUCACUCUCAGAAAUGUAGGUUUAACGUGUCAGACUAGGCUAACUGGGCUGGUGGGAGACUGGGACAUCCUACUGGCUUCUUAUUAAUGGGGAUCUCAGAGAAAUUUGAAUUCUUUCAAAGCAGACACUAAAGCUAUUUAACUGUGAGCUGAAACCUAUGCACUGACAUUGUAUCUGGAUCUUGGAGAGAAUUAAGGAUAGAACAAAGCCAUUUUCUCAUGAAGUUUUCAAUUCUCCACCUCUACUUCUGAAGAGGUAUAUACCUCAUCAUUGUGUCUAGUUCCCAAUUCCAGCCCUUUCCUUUCAGCUGCUUCAGAGUGGAGGCUCUGAAUUCAUCCUUGCUCAGCCAUUUAUCUACUAAGUAACCUUCAGUAAAUUUCCAACUCCUCUAACCUAGUAUUCCCAUCUGUACAAUGAGAAUAAUGACCACACCUUAGUAAUGGGCAUGAUAAAAUUUUAUCCAUUCAAGUGAAUCAAAAUUUUGUUAUACACAAAAAACCCUUGGAUUAAUACUUAACACUUUAUGAGAGCUUAAUACAUAUUAGAUAAUAAUAUUAUAAUAUAUAUGCAUGUAUACACAUAUAAACAUACACACAUAUAUGUAUUGUAUAUGUAUAUAUUUUUAGCUGUUGAAGUAGAAGCAAAACUUAACAGAGAAUGCCUCAAUUUGGAGUGCUUCCCUUCUAUGAGUUCCCUGAGUCUUCAUUUUCUCAAUUAUAAAAUGAGAGAGAACAAACACAACUACUUUGAUGUGUUCUUGUUAUCAUUAUGUAAUAUGUAUAAAGAGUUUAGCAGAUACCUGACAUUUAAUAAAUAAAAUUUAUUAUUCUGAAGAAGGAUAUGGAGGCUUGUAAAGAGAAUCAAAGAUGAGUCAAGGGGACAAUUUUAGCAAAUGUUAUUUUUCCCCCUUUUCUAAGAAUACUUUUCAGAUGUUCUACUUCCUCAUAUGUAAAAUGGGGACAAUAAUUACUUGCUGAUACAUAUAUAUUUUAUCAGGUAAAUAUAGAUGACUGAUAUAGAUGCAAUUUAUAUAGAUGUAGAGACAUAAGUAUAGCUAUAUAGACAUAACAUGGUUAAGUGGCUAGAACAGUGCCCGGUGUACAGUGGCUACUAAAUAUACCUAAGUUUUCCUUUUUCCUUCUUUCUUCCUCCUGUCCUUCUCACCCAUUUUAUUUUGCCUAAAUUUCUAAGUUCUAGAUGACUUUUUACUGUAUUAUAAUGAUUCAGGGUGUCAUACUUAACCCCUCUGUCCACACUAGACUAAUUAGACUCUAAAAUCCUUGGAAAUAAGAUCAAUGUCUGGUUCAUUUUGUGUCUUUCACAGUACCUACCAGGUACCUGGCAGACAGAAGAUAUGCUAUAGAUACAUGUUUGCUGUGGUUUGAGUGUUCUUCCCCUCCCAAACUCAGGUUGAAAUUUAAUAGCCAUUGUAACAGCAUUGGGAGAUAGGACCUUUGGCAGGAGCAGAGCCCUCAUGAAUGAAUUAAUGCUGUUAUCUAGGGAGUGAGUUCCUUAUAAAAGGAUGAGUUUGGCCCCCUUUUGUCUCUCUCUCGUCCUCUCCUUACCCUUCCAUUAUGUGGUGCCUCUUACCAUGUUAUGAUGGAGCAAGAAGGUCCUUGCCAGAAGCCUGCACCUUGAUCUUGAACUUCCCAGCCUCCAGAACUGCAAGAAAAAAAUUUCUGUUCAUUAUAAAUGAUUCAGUCUGUGGUAUUCUGUUAUAGAAGCACAAAAUGGACUAAGACAAUGUUGAAUAUGUGUUGUUUAUCAGUAAAGUAAGAAGAUAAUUCAUACUUACAAACUAAAGUGAGUGAGAGAAGGUUUUGAAGAAGGUUGUGAAAACAAUUUUUGAAUUGAGUGUUAAGAACCAAGUGUAUUGUGAAUGUUGACAACAAUUAUAAGAUAUAGAGUAGAAGGAGAUGAGUAACAUACUGAUUGUCUACUGUAUUUUAGGUUCUCUGCUACCCAUUUUGACAUACAAUUACUUAGUCAACUAAUCAACUUUAUGACCUGGGCCAUAACAUUUUUCUUUCCCUCUAAUGUAAGCCAUACUAACUCACCACUACAACAUUUUUGUACAGUUCCCUUUAUAUGUCCCUUAUUUAUGUCUAUAUGCCGUUUAGUAUAUACAGGUAAUUAUAGAAUGGAAAAGGGAUCUACAGUCCUACCAGACUAUAAUCCAGUGUCUCUGGUCAUUUUCUUUUGUAAAGUCUUUGAAGAAUCUGAUGUAUACAAAGAGUUUAAGAAAAUACAGUCGUGUGUUGCUUAACAAAGGGAUACAUUCUGAGAAAUGCAUGAGAAAAUUUCAUUAUUGUGUGAACAUUAUAUAGUGUGCUUAUACAAACCUAGUUGAUAUAGCGUACUACUACCUAAGCUAUAUAAUAUAGCCUAUUCCUCCUACGCUAUAAAACUGUAAGCAUGUUACCAUACUAAAUCCCAUAGGUAAUUAUAAUAUGAUGCUAAAUAUUUGUGUAUCUAAACAUAACUAAACAUAGAAAAAGUACAGUUAAUAUAUGAUAUUAUAAGCUUAUGAGACCACCCUUGUAUAUUUGGUUUGUCAUUGACCAAAAUGUUGUUGUGUGGUGCAUGACUGAAAUUGUUGAAAUAAGUACUGAUGUAACUUUGAGGGGACAGUCCAGCCAGGGUCAAAGACUGAGCAAAGGAAUUAUUUUGUGCCUCUCACCUUGAACUUGGUUGUGAAGACAGAAAAUGUUUAUAAGACUUAGGGAUAAGGGGCUUUGGAAAAUUAUCUGGAGAUGGUGGGAAGGUUCUGGGUUCUUAAUUUCAAUUUUUCUGUGUUCUUCCUCCUCCUACACACAAUCUCCCAACACUCCACACCCUCUCAAAAGGAUGUAGAUAUAUAUAGAUAUAUAUAUUUUUUUUGUUUGUCUCCCUCAAAAUAGCCUUGAUUUAUUUAGACAUACUAUGAAACCACGAAAUAGCCUUGGCUCCAGUAUGUUAUGUAAUACAUUUUCAUAGUCAAGCACUAACUAGUAAUUAUGAUAAUAACUUAUAUAUACUGAGUGCUUCAUAUGUGCCAGGCACUCCACUGUGGACUCCCACGUUGUUUAGGUCUUUUAACAACCAAUGAUUUAUGUACAAUUAUUAUCCCCAUCUUACAGAUGAGGAAAUUGUUGGUUAGUAAAAUGAAGAAACCUGCCGAAAGAUAACUUCAAACAGCAGGUUUGGGAUUUGAACACAAGCACUUUGACUCCAGAAACCAUGUAAUUACCCCUUCUUUAUACCUUUUUGCUGUAGAAUUAUUCCAAUCACCGAAACAUUCACAUUACUGUUAUUGAGAACUGUAGGAGGCCAAGUGUUGCGUUAUACAAAGAAAAUGCAGGCAUUAAAAGAAACAACCUAUAUCCUGAAGACUUGUAGAGUUUUAGAGCUACAUGAUGGUUGUUCUUUCGUUCCUCCAUUGGAUCCUUCAACAUUUUUGAACAUCUAUUAUUUUAAAGGCCUUGAGCUGGGUGCCAGGGAUAUAAAGAUGAAAGAACAGAAUUCAUAUCUUGAUGAGCUCCUAAUCUAGUACAAGGAAGGGAGUUACAAUGCAUGGAACAAAUAGAAUGCAGGAACCAGCAUGGCCGCAUCUCCAGCCCCAGUCCACCCCAUGGGGACAUGGCAAACUUGUCUUUCUGAGGUCAGAUACAGCUUCAGAAAUCUUUCAACACGAAGCUCCAGUUGAUAUAGUGUACUACUACCUAAGCUAUAUAAUAUAGCCUAUUCCUCCUAGGCUAUAAAACUGUAAGCAUGUUACCAUACUAAAUCCCACUAAUUAAUUGGAUUCAGUAUUUGAAAUGGAACCUGUUUGCUACUAUAAUCUAGUAAAAUGGCAGACAUGGAGGCAUAUAUGAGUGAGUGGGUACUCAAGGGGAUCAUAGAGUUCCAGGGUCAGUCCUUAAAGAGUAUCCAAUCCAACCAUCUCACUUUUCAAAUGGGCAAAAGUAAAGUCCAGAAACAGGUAGCAAAAGAGAAUUAGGUCAAGAACUCUGGUUCCCCAUGCCCUUUCCUCCACAUCACAGUUCUCUCUUGCUGAAAUAUCCUCUACAGUGAAGUGGGCUUCUGAUGGAGUCAAAGAAAAUGAGCCUGCACUGAUGUCUGCAAAUAUCUGCAAAACCUUCCUGGGGGUGAGGAGGCCGAUUGAGCUUGGGGUGAGAAGGCCUUUGGGGCUGCUUCCUAGAGCCUGGUGCUGAUCUGCUGAUUUUUAUGCCAUUUCUUUUAAUUAACAUGUAAAAAAGACAGCUCUGUCAGCUUGUGCCAAGUCUUUUGCGUCUUCAGCUUGGCGCACUGGGGCAUGAACCUGAGAUAUCGGUGAGUGAAAGUUCACAAUGCUAAAAUGGGAAGUAUUAAUGAGUGGAACCACCAUGCAUGCACUUACCACGAUCAAUUUUCCACUUAGACAGCUUUUGUCCAGUUGCAGUAACUACUAACCGAUCUAUAAUCCCUAAUGGAUUAAAGUGGAAAGGUCAGGAAUCAUAAAAUCAUCCAUUUCCCACUCAUUAAUUAUUCGAGUGUGGGCUCCUGGACCUGCCCCAGGCUGCAUCACAGUGAGAACUUAUUUAUAACGAGGUUACAAGGAGAUCAAACAGCCCAGACUAUGUAGAAAUAUGGAUUUGCAUGUAGUUUUCUGAAUGACUGAAUGAGACCAUAUGUGACAACAUGAUAGUUGUCAAUUGAUAAGAGAAAUGUGGUAAAGAAUCAGGACCAGGGUGAGGUGAGUGUGACCUUUCUUGACAAGUUUAAGAGGCUGCCAAAAAACUCAGUAAUCAAGAUAAAUAUUGCAAUAUGUUUUUAAAAUUUUAAAAUAUUGCAAUAUAUUUUUUAGAUCUCCUAAUGAGGAGAUGAACUGGGAUUGAGAUUCCCAAUGGUCUGUUCUUUUUUCUUUUUUUUCUUUUUUUGAGAAGGAGUCUCUCUCAUUUGCCCAGGCUAGAGUACAGUGGCAUGAUCUCGGCUUACUGAAACCUCCACCUUCCAAGUUCAAGCAAUUAUCCUGCCUCAGCCUACUGAGUAGCUAGGAUUACAGGUGUGCGCCACCACCCCCAGCUACUUUUUGUAUUUUUAGUAGAGACAGGUUUCACCAUAUCGGCCAGACUGGUAUCGGACUCCUGACCUCAUGAUCCACCUGCCUCAGCCUCCCAAAAUGCUGCGAUUACAGAAAACGAUGGAGGAAGAAAGAAGCGUGAAAUUUCAAACUCGUCAUGUUUUGUGAGUGGCUGAAGGGUGCCCAGGUGUAGACGGUCCUUUCUGUUAUCAGAGAUGUUAAUGAGUUUUGGAUACACAAAGAGAGUCAGGCAGUAGAAAAUUUUUGUUUUGAUUCAAUAUAACUUCAAAGCUUACAGAAUCACAACCAUCACCCAGAGGCAUGUCUAUAUGUACACUACGCAUCCGGAUAUGCCUAAACAUCUGAAUGGCUGACUACAGUUUGUGGACUUUUACUCAAACAUUUGGGAUCAAUAUCAGAAAAUAGAAGACAGAGUAAUAACUUCAGGGAAGCUGUCAGAUUGAAUGUUUAUAAUUGAAGGUUGGAAAAGUAACACCAGGAUCUGCUAUGUGAUAGAAGAGCUGAGUGAAGUAAAUUGCCUGCGAGCCAAUAAGGAAGGCAGGUGUGAUUGUGAUUAUCAGUGAUUUUAUUCCCCCUAAUUGUUGUCAGGAAACCUGUGAGACAUCAGAGCUAGGAGGAGAAAAUGAUUGACGUCUAAAUGAUGAGUUCCUGGAGCCAUGUGUCAAAGAGAGCCCACCGGGGAUAAUUCAUUUCUGGAUCUAGUGAUACCUCACGUCUGGGACAUAAGUGAAUAAGCAAUAGUUUAGCCAUUUGACCUAAUAUCCAGGAUUGGACAUAAUAGUAUUAUCUGGAAUUCAAAAUCAGUUACUAGUGAGACAGGCAUCCUUGGAUAAAUAAGGUGGCAAUGUCAUCUGGAAUUACACGCAGAUCUUUUUGAGCAUCUCAUUAAAAAAAAAAAAAAAUCAGGCAUUAACAAGGCUGGCAGCAGCCAAGCUGUGGACAAUACUCCAAGAGUACCUUGGCUCAGACAACCACAGUGUUAGUGAAGGAAAGGACUUAAUUUAAAUUAUCGCUACCAGUGUUCACAAACAAGUAGCCUGCAUGAUGAGUUAGUCUUCAGGGGAUAGGUUGUCUUUGGUAUGCUCUGCGUCAAAACAAAAAGUUGUAUAUAAAUCCCUUGGCAUGACUCUCCAGUUAACCAAGAUGCCACCACUUUUUUCUGCUUUAUGCCAGAUACCUUUACAUGCUUGUUACAACAUUACUGUGCCACUCAAAGGAUUUCAGUUUGCAGGUCCUGAAACUCAUUUAUUUGUUUGGCAGAUGAGAAAUCCAAAGUUCAGAAAAUUUAAUGUUGCCACCUAUUUCAGGUCAAGCAUAUACCCAAAAUGGGUCUGGAUGACUCAAUAAAACAUUUAUUCAAAUGUGGUUUUUUUUUCACCUAUUACAUGCCAGUGCCACUUUUAGUUCCUGACUUUAUAAGAUAGGCAUAAAAUCUGAAUUUCUGGAAUGUACAGUCUAGCGAGGGAAAAGCCCAGAAACGACAUGGUACAUGGUACAUGCUCAUUGGCCAUUAGCUCCCUGAACUUUCAUGCCUUAGGAAAACAAAAAAAAUUACUAUAUACCUUUUUGUUGUUGUUUUAUUAUUUUGAGUUUCGUGUCUUUGAGCUGCUAAUCAUUGCAGCAGUAGCUGGAAAUAGUCUUAAGUGGAAUGAAGUUCAUGGGGCAACAAAGACCUCCUUUACACAGGGUUGUCAGAGACAGAACAUGUGGCUUCCACAGAUGACCAAGAAAUGUGAUUUUACAGGAAGAAUUUUAGUUUUUAUCCAGAAUUCACAUACUAAUAGACUAUAGCUUAGGAAACACAUUUCUGGCUGCUUGUGAAUUAGAAUAAUACCACUGAAAAUUCUAGACAGGUACUUUCUAUAUAUUUUACAUACAGAAUGUUAUCACAGUCACCUCACAGUGUGUGUCUAUUAUUAUUUUCAUUCAACAAGAUGAAGAAACUGAGGCACUAGAAGUUGGCAUUUUCAAGUCCACGCAGCUAGUAAGCAGUAGAGCUGGGCUUUAGAUUCACAUCUGUAUGCUUCUGUUUCCACAGACUUCCCAGUGCCCCACUUCAAGGUCCUCUCUUCAGUUUUGCCACAUAGAAGAAAUUGUUUCUGGGAGAAUAGGCAGAAAUCACAAGGCCACGGCUUUGCCUUUGUGCUAUACAUUCCAGGACCACAUUCUGGGGCCAUGACAAAGGGAUUGAGAGACUAGUGAAUGCUACCAGUUAUUUAAUUUCAUCAGAGGAAGGCCAAAGCGAAAAAAGAAAAAAAGAUUAUCUUGUAUCUCACAUAGCAUAACAUUCUUUGCCCUGUUUUUUUUUUUUUUUUUUUUUUUUCUUGUGAUUGCAGCCUCUAAUUAUAUAUUGAACAAUUGGGGAUGUGGGAGGAAAGAACACUUUAGUCACUGCAAAAAGAAGUACCCUUGUUUGGUUGGGCACAGUAGCUCACACCUGCAAUCUCAGUGCUUUGGGAGGCCAAGGCAGGAAGGUUGCUUGAGGUCAGGAGUUGGAGACCAGCCUGGGCAACCAUAGUGAGGCCCCUUCUCCCUUCAAGAUAGAUAGAUAGAUAGAUAGAUAGAUAGAUAGAUAGAUAGAUAGAUAGAUAGAAUCUUAAUUAGCUUGGCAUGGUGGCUGCUAUGGUUGAACUAGCCACUUGGGCUGCUGAGGUGGGAGGAUAGCUUGAGCCCAGGAGUUUGAGGUUACAGUGUGCUAUGAUUGUGCUACUGUACUCUAGCCUGGGUGACAGAGCAAGACCCUGCCUCUAAUAAAACAAAAGCAAGUAUAUGAACAAAACAAAAGUACCUUGAGGUAGAUGGACAGUUAUUGUGUUUAAAUUUGCUACAGCCCCUGGGGCUAUGUGCCAAGGGGAAGACAAUGUGGGAAUGAGGAAGAGGCCUCAGGUGACUUUAGGCAGGUGGGAUUUUUUUAUGAACCUCACACUAUAAAAACCACCCAUUUCCACCCCACCCGCAAGAUGUAUAGAACUACCAUUGGCCUUCUAGGUGGUAAAAUCUUUUCCAAGAUUCUAGCAAGACAAUGUUGGUCAUUCUUGAAUUUAGGUGGUGGUUUUAUCUUGUGUGUGUGUUUUUUUUUUAUUUUUCUGGAUUUGGUAGUUAUUUUAUUGGUGUGAUAGUAAUUAAUGAUGUUUGUCAAAUAUUUUCAGUCUCUGCCUCUUCAGGGUACAUAAUAAUCUUGAUUUUUCUGGCUUCUUUAUAUUUGAGUGAUGACAACUGUGGAUAGAUGAUGUGUUGAAAGCUGCACUCUUCCCUUUGAUCCACUGGUUAGCAAUUUAGAAGAUAGUUUUUUCAUUAAUCUGGAGGCUUGAGUCACUGAAAUCAGCAUAGCCCAUUUUCCUACAAAUCCCCCAUAAUGGACUUGUAGAAUGAAUACUAUUAAUAUUUUGUUUAUUUUAAAACCACUGUAAGUUGGAAGUUGUUACUGCAACAAAACCUAGCUCAUCCUGACUGAUAAAACUGAAUGAUUCAGAGAGACUGAGUGAAGUAAUUCCAGUCAGAAGCCUCUUACACUAGAAGUUCCUAAUGUGAUCUUAAAGAUAAUGUGCUAUGUUUAAAAUAAACAGAGCCCUCUACUCUGAGAUGACAUUUUAUUAUAUUUAAUUAUUCAGUAUUAUGAGCUUUUAUUAGUCAUUAAACUCAAGUGAUUGUGAAAGUUAAGCUCAAAUUUCUUAGGAAAUAUACAUACAUUUAAUGAAUACUUUUUAAAACGAUCUGUCCAGUAAAGGCAACAUUUGUGAUGGACUACAAACAUGAACUUAGAAUUACAGUUAUAAUAAUGAUGUCACAUCUAUACUUAGAAUUUUUUAAUGGCUUUCCUUUAUACUCACGACAAAGCUAAUUACUUAGCCUGAGCAAAAUAAGUCUGUCCAUGACAGGGUUCCACACUUCUUGCUCCAGCCUCUUCUCUCACAACCAGAUGCACCUACUUGUGAAUCAUGAUUAUGAAGUGCUUGCCCAUCUCCUGUCUUGACACAUGCUGUUGCUUUUCUCUGGAGCACAUUUUAAUUCCUUUGCCUUGUCACUUGUGUUAGUUCGUGUGGGCUGCUAUUACAAAAUACCAUUGACUAGGUGGAAUAUCAAUAACAGACAUUUAUUUCUCACAGUUUUGGAGGCUGGGAAAUCCAAGAUCAAGGCACCAGCAGAUCUGGUGUCUGGUGAGGCCCUUCUUUCUUGUUCAUAGAUGGCAUCUUUUGGCUGCAUUUUCACAUGGCAGAAGGGGCAAGGACCUCCUCUAUCCCUAAUCCCACUCAAGAUGGGUCUGCCUUCAUGACCUCAUCACUUUCCAAAGGCCUCAGCUCCUCAUAUCAUCACCUUAGAAAUUAGUAUUUUAACAUAUGAACUUGGGGAUGAGUUACACCAACAUGCAGACGAUAGAACCACUCUUUACUCCUCCAUCUUUCAAUGUGGGUAUAAUUCCCUUAAGAAAACUUUCCCCCUCACCUGUACGGUAAGUCAGGAGUCUCAAAACAUCCCAUGCCUUUUUCUAGUAUAGUAUGUACCAUAAUGUGUUGAACUUAUCUAUUUAUUGGUUUACCCUCAUUAUCAACCCUUAUGUUCCUUGAAUAUAAGAACUAUUUUGUUGAUUGCAUUCCCUCACCACCCAACACAAUGUCUGGCACACAGUGUGCGCUCAAUAAGUUUUCGCUGAACUAAUAAAACUAACAUAGUAAAUGCUUUUGCGAACUUACAUGCUGUCACCUAAGUCACCAAGUCAUUCCUCGGCCAACACAUUCAUGAGUCUGUGUGAAUUUUCAAAAUAAGCAUUUGAUGCUAUCAUUUCCUGAAUUAAAUCAGGUACUUUCUCUUUUUUUUUUUUUUUUUUCGUUUUGAGGCAAGAUCCCUCAGUUGCCCAGGCUGAGUGCAGUGGCACAGUCAUAACUUACUGCGGCCUCAACCUCCCAGGCUCAAGCAGUCCUCCCUAGUAGCUGGUGCAUCACCAUGCAGGGAUAAUUUUGUAUUUUUUGUAGAGUUGAAAUCUCCCUAUACUUCCCAGGCUGAUCUCAAACCCAUGGGCUCAAGUAAUGCUCCUGCUUUGGCCUCCCAAAGUGCUGGGAUUACAGGUGUGAGCCACCAUGCCUGGCCAGGGACUUUUUCUUAAGUAGAGAAUUAAAGAAAGCAUAAUCCUAUUCCUUGCCAAAUGUGUUAUGCUAUAAAAAGACAAAGAAGCAUUAAUGAGUUUUUGGAAGUGUGAAUCUUAUAAACAAAUUAACAAUCAUUUUGAUACAAGAGCAUAAAAUAAAGGUAGAUAUCAACGUAUAAGGAUAACUUUGUAGGAAAACACUUUAGUAUACCCACGCUGCAUGCAGGUUUUGAAGAUACAGAAAUAAAGUGAGGACAAACUUCUGUUCUCAAGAAGUGCAGAGUCCAGUGAGAAAUAAAAAGGAUACACAGGAAUUCUAAAGAAAGAAAGGAUGAGUGAUAGAUUAGAGGCACAAAAUAUAAUGAGC